AACGAACGCUGGCGGCAUGCCUAACACAUGCGAGUCGAACGAAGGCUUCGGCCUUAGUGGCGCACGGGUGAGUAACGCGUGGGAAACUGCCUAUUGGUGGGGAAUAACGACGGGAAACUGUCGCUAAUACCGCAUAAGCCCUUCGGGGGAAAGAUUUAUCGCCGAUAGAUGUGCCCGCGUCCGAUUAGCUAGUUGGUGAGGUAAUGGCUCACCAAGGCGACGAUCGGUAGCUGGUCUGAGAGGAUGAUCAGCCACACUGGGACUGAGACACGGCCCAGACUCCUACGGGAGGCAGCAGUGGGGAAUAUUGGACAAUGGGCGAAAGCCUGAUCCAGCAAUGCCGCGUGAGUGGUGAAGGCCUUAGGGUUGUAAAGCUCUUUCGGGUGGGACGAUGAUGACGGUACCACCAGAAGAAGCCCCGGCUAACUUCGUGCCAGCCGCCGCGGUAA
rnacentral:rRNA from 1 species